GACGAACGCUGGCGGCGUGCUUAACACAUGCAAGUCGAACGGAAAGGCCCGGCUUUUGUGUGGUGCUCGAGUGGCGAACGGGUGAGUAACACGUGAGUAACCUGCCCUUGUCUUUGGGAUAACUUCAGGAAAAUGGGGCUAAUAUCGGAUAGGAGCUCCUGCUGCAUGGGGGGGGAUGGAAAGAUUCGGCGGUUGGGGCUGGACUCGCGGCUUAUCCGCUUGUUGGGGGGGUAGUGGCUGACCAAGGCUGUGACGGGUAGGCGGCCUGAGAGGGUGACCGGCCACAUUGGGCCUGAGAGACGGCCCAGACUCCUACGGGAGGCAGCAGGGGGGAAUAUUGCACAAUGGGGGGAAGCCUGAGGCAGCAACGCCGCGUGCGGGAUGCCGGCUUUCGGGUUGUAAACCGCUUUGGCCUGUGCCGAAGCGUGAGUGACGGUAAUGGGUAAAGAAGCACCGGCUAACUACGUG
rnacentral:rRNA from 1 species